GAAGUGUGUAUCAGUGAGUUCAGACAAUCAGUCAUGAGGUUUCCUUUCUGUUUCUGUCUUUUCCUCUCUGUGCUUCAUUUUAUUAAGGGAUGUCAUGUUUCAGAUCAUAGAGAGUGUAAAAUAGUAACAGGUUACACAGGUGGAUCAAUCCUGCUGCCCUGCUCCUGUACUGACCCUCAGUCUACAGUCAGGACAUUCAACUGGAUCCACUAUAAAAGAGAAGGCCAGUGGCUUGGAGUAUUUAAAGAUGACAACUACAAGAACAGACUGAAGCUGUUUAAUCAAAGUUCUCCAGCGAAUCUGUCUCUGCUCAUUUCUGACCUCAGAAAGAAGGAUGAAGGGUUAUAUAGAUGUGAGGCUCCACAAACUACAAAUAUUACAUAUACAGACAUUAACUUACAAAUUCAAGGGUGUGAUCUAGAUCAGAAUAAACCUGUGGCUAAGGAAACGGGACACUCGGGAGAGUCUGUGGUUCUGCCCUGCUCCUGUACUGAACUACAGGCUAAACCUGAACAACUUACAUGGACAUUUACUGCAAUAAACAAAAACUCUGAAGAAAUUUACCCACAUGAACAGAGCGAGAGAGAUACAGGUCGAGUCAGACUAUUAAAUGAAAUCUCUCCUGGAAAUCUCUCUCUACAAAUAUCAAAUUUGACCAAAGAGGACCAGGGAGAAUAUCGCUGCUCUGUCUCAUCUCAACAGCACAUUAACAUCAGACUCAUUGUUCAAGAGGAAAUUUACUUUCAAUCGUUCUGUUUAUCAACCCAUAAACCUGCAAAACACAGAGAAGAAAGUUCAACCACUCAACACACAGGAGGCAUAACGAGAAAACAGCCACAAAUCUUGCAUUAAUAAUGAGUUUCCAUGUUCAAACAGCAGACGCCCCAGCACAGAGACGCAGCAGAGCACGUGGAGUCUAUCAGCACCGAGUAAAAAUGACUCUAAAUCAUAAUCUGCAUUUUAUUUGAAACAUCAGAAACUUUCUGAUCUAACUUUGUUAACCUAUUUUAUGGCCUCUGUUUUAUCUCAACAUAUCUUGUUUAUACCCUCUUUAAUUUUAAGAUGUGUGUAUACUUAUGUGUGUUUAGCUAAUUUCAAAAAGCUUUUUUGCUAGUUGACUUCAAUUAUCAUGGGAAGAAAAAGCCAGACCAAAAGCAGUGCUUUAGAGUUAAAGAUUAGUAGCAUUUUCUUCAUAAUCUCUAAGGCAAGUUUCCAGAACGCAUUGUUAUCUUGGUAUCAUGUAAUUCUUUUUGAUGAUUUAACAAAUAGUGCAUAUAUGUCUGUCUUCCAGGAGUUUACCAUUUUGUUACAAUAAAAAAUAUUGUCAAAAUAUAUUAUAGCUAGAUAUCGUGUCACUGAUGCUACUUAAGAAAAUACUUUGUAUGAUCUCUCUCUCUCUCUCUCUCCCUCUCUAUUUCAAUUCAGUUAAGCUUUAUUAGCAUGACUGUAACACAAUGUUGCCAAAGCAUUAACAUAUAUAUAACAACAUAAAU